CCUACGGGAGGCAGCAGUGGGGAAUAUUGCGCAAUGGGCGAGAGUCUGAACCAGCCAAGUAGCGUGAAGGAUGACUGCCCUAUGGGUUGUAAACUUCUUUUAUAUGGGAAUAAAAUGUUCCACGUGUGGGAUUUUGUAUGUACCAUAUGAAUAAGGAUCGGCUAACUCCGUGCCAGCAGCCGCGGUAAUACGGAGGAUCCGAGCGUUAUCCGGAUUUAUUGGGUUUAAAGGGAGCGUAGGUGGAUUGUUAAGUCAGUUGUGAAAGUUUGCGGCUCAACCGUAAAAUUGCAGUUGAAACUGGCAGUCUUGAGUACAGUAGAGGUGGGCGGAAUUCGUGGUGUAGCGGUGAAAUGCUUAGAUAUCACGAAGAACUCCGAUUGCGAAGGCAGUUCACUGGACUGCAACUGACACUGAGGCUCGAAAGUGUGGGUAUCAAACAGGAUUAGAUACCCGAGUAGU
rnacentral:rRNA from 1 species